GCUAUCUCCUAGCCCACAGAAGCUGCAGGCUGGGUGAGCUGUAGAUGAGCACUCCACUGUGGGAUCAUAGAAGAUCCUGCAUGCUCAGGGAAUCCUUGCUGAGUCCUCAGCCAUGGGCAGGAGAGCCAGGGGGCGCCUAGAUAUCUCUGUGGGCAACUCUAAUUAGUCCAAGGGUCCUAGGGAAUCUAAAGAAGACUCUCUCAGGGGCCUGUGAUUCCAAGCUGAGCUCAAUCAAGACCUCACUACUCAGCCACAGACAGCUCACCCAGCCAAAAAGACCACUUCUGACCAAACAUGCCGUCACAAAACAGGUGUCAUCUUAAAGUCUGUGGUGCAUGGUUCAUUCCAGCUUGAAUAACUCACCGCUCAACUAUAGACUCAAGAUGUCGUCCAGCUAAGAGACAACUUGAGAGACAGCCAAGGGCAUGUCCAACUCACUGUCUUGUCCUGUGGCCACCAUGCCAUUGAAGUUAAACCACCAUGGUAGGAGCUGCAGGCCCUCUGGGUUGCCCCACUAAGAAUGCCCUGAUGCAGCUCACAGUUCAAGAUAAAGCUCAGAGUUCAAGACACAGUCGAUCAUGGUAGGACAAUUAAGUCAUCAGAAGCUUGAUGCAGCUGGUCAUGUUGUACCCACAGUCAAGAGAAGGGGACAAUAAAUAGAUGUACUCA